rnacentral:rRNA from 1 species
UACGUAGGGUGCAAGCGUUGUCCGGAAUUAUUGGGCGUAAAGAGCUCGUAGGUGGUUUGUCGCGUUGUUCGUGAAAACUCACAGCUCAACUGUGGGCGUGCGGGCGAUACGGGCAGACUGGAGUACUGCAGGGGAGACUGGAAUUCCUGGUGUAGCGGUGGAAUGCGCAGAUAUCAGGAGGAACACCGGUGGCGAAGGCGGGUCUCUGGGCAGUAACUGACGCUGAGGAGCGAAGGCGUGGGGAGCGAACAGG